rnacentral:misc_RNA from 1 species
GAUGAAGAACGUAGCGAAAUGCGAUAAGUAAUGUGAAUUGCAGAAUUCAGUGAAUCAUCGAAUCUUUGAACGCACAUUGCGCCCGCCAGUAUUCUGGCGGGCAUGCCUGUUCGAGCGUCAUUUCAACCAUCAAGCCCCCGGGCUUGUGUUGGGGACCUGCGGCUGCCGCAGGCCCUGAAAAGCAGUGGCGGGCUCGCUGUCACACCGAGCGUAGUAGAUUUUAUCUCGCUCUGGGCGUGCUGCGGGUUCCGGCCGUUAAACCACCCCUUUAACCCAAGGUUGACCUCGGAUCAGGUAGGAAGACCCGCUGAACUUAAGCAUAUCAAUAAGCGGAGGA